UACAAAUCUUUAAAAAGGAAAUGCCUGGUUGAAGUAAUGUUUUCACCUGAUUGACUUUCAGUUAUGUGUAGCCAGUUACUCCAAAAUUCUUCCUGACUGCCAUAUAGUUCCUUCUUUGUUUAGUACUGAGAGAGGAUGAAGGGUGCAGGAAUGGUUCUAGAGAAGAGGGCGCUUUGUUACCCAGGGGGUUAACAGGGCAGGAGGAGGAGGCUGAGUGCUGAGAAAGCCAAGCCCGACCACUGCCCUAGGUAUCAUCAGUGUGGUAGUUAUGAACGGGAACUGUGGACAAAGGAACCAUUCCUCACUGAGGAACUUUUAAAAAUAGUUUCCCAGAAACCUAGAAGUUGGACUAGUUUUUAGGAAGCUGCUGCAGGAGACCACAGAGCGCAAGGAUAACUUAGAAUAAUAAUUCUGUAGCCCCCGCGAGGCCUGGCAGCUUUCCUCAACUUGAUUUUUCUCAGAUGAGUGAGAAAAUGGUUAAAUGACUUGGCAUGUUGACACUGAUUGGAUGGAUGGAGGCUGAAUGUAAGCCUUUAGAUUUAGUUGAGUGAGCUUUGAAGCCUCUUUGGAGGUAAGAAUAUGUAGGUGAAAGGACCUAGGGAAAGAAAGACACAUUGAUUCCUGUCCCAGCAGUACCAGUUCACAUGGCCCAGUUUCCUCAUCUGUUUUAUGAAGAAAACAAUACCUUCCAUGCAGGGUUGUUAGGAAAAUAAAGAUGAAAUUAUCGGUGAUUGACAGCUAGGAGAUCAGGGCUUCAUAGUGUGAGGUACAUGAAUGACCUUGAGAAGGGAGAGUGCUCAGCAAACUCCUUAAAAUUUCAUGCCAAUGUUUCUGGGUGUGAACAUUUUGAGGAGAAAGUAGUUUGUAACUUUUUAUCAAAUUCUCCGAUCUGUGACUACAAAUAGGUUAAGAAUCCUUGAAGUAGGAGCUCAUUUCUGUUUGAGAAUGAGUUGCAAAGGGAAAAGUCUGAAAUUCUCUAGAAUAGUCAUCAAAAAGAACUGGAACAGAAG
ensembl:lncRNA